UGAUGCCGGGCUUUUUCACCUUUCUUAUUUAUUUUCUUAGUUUUUUGUUUUUAAUAAUAAAUGUUCUGCGUCAGGUUUUAUUGCGGCUCUGUGACUAUUUUACUCUGACUUUUAACUACGAUUUUUAAAAUAUACCAGAAUUAAGUUCACAAUCCGAUAUUGGACAUAAUAAUGAAGGGACUUCCAGACAUUCUCCUUCUAACGGAUCUUCUCAAGCCAGACCUCUUAAUGUCUCACCAAUUCGUGCCAUACCUCUUUCUGUCAGACCUAGCCAUACUGGACCUUCUUCUUUAAUCAUAAAUUUCGAAAAACCCGAACCCCAUGGGAAAUUAAAACACAAAACCUUUUCUUAUCCUCCUGGAUUUCAAACGAUGGAUCAUUUAACUAAUGAAUUUAAGCCAAUACCACCAGGCUGCCCUCUUCGUUCAUUAACAACAGCCAAUAAUUACGUCCUGGGACUAUUGAACCAACAUCUUAUAUUUUUUGGAAUAUAUGCUGAAUUUAAUGGAAAACUCCAUCGAUUUAAAAUACCUAUAAAAGGCGGAAGACCUGUACUACUGCGCGCGGAAGAAGAGGCGGAAUUUUUUGACUUCCGAAAAUUCGAAAGGAAAGAAUAGGAACACACAAAAUACCUCAGAGAAAAAUUGUAGAAUGUAUGUAUAUACUUUAACCUGGAAAUGAUGUAUCUUGUGAUUCAUUUAAUGUGAUAUCUUUGGAGGAAAGGCAACAAAUGCAACUAAAAAUAAUGAAAUAAAAAAGUAUUUACAAUGGC